rnacentral:rRNA from 1 species
UACGUAGGGUGCGAGCGUUAAUCGGAAUUACUGGGCGUAAAGCGUGCGCAGGCGGUUUGUUAAGCCAGAUGUGAAAGCCCCGGGCUCAACCUGGGAACUGCGUUUGGUACUGGCAAGCUAGAGUACGGCAGAGGGGGGUGGAAUUCCACGUGUAGCAGUGAAAUGCGUAGAGAUGUGGAGGAACACCGAUGGCGAAGGCAGCCCCCUGGGCCGAUACUGACGCACAGGCACGAAAGCGUGGGGAGCAAACAGG